rnacentral:pre_miRNA from 1 species
CAUGGAGGAAGGGAGUCCUCAGCCCAGAUUGCAAGAGGGUGCAGGCCAGGCCAAGGGACCCCACCAGUGCAUG